rnacentral:rRNA from 1 species
UACGUAGGGACCGAGCGUUGUCCGGAUUUCUUGGGCGUAAAGAGCGUGUAGGCGGCCAGGUAGGUCUGCUGUGAAAACUCGAGGCUUAACCUCGAGCUGUCGGCGGAAACCAUCUGGCUAGAGUCCGGAAGAGGAGAAUGGAAUUCCCGGUGUAGCGGUGAAAUGCGCAGAUAUCGGGAAGAACACCCGUGGCGAAGGCGGUUCUCUGGGACGGUACUGACGCUGAGACGCGAAAGCGUGGGGAGCGAACAGG